rnacentral:ncRNA from 1 species
CGACGGGGGCUUGUAUUACAGGCUGAGAUAGGGGUAGUGACCCCGUACCGUAGACCUGAUCUGGGUAAUGCCAACGUAGGGACGAGCCGAUA